ensembl:lncRNA
AACCACUCCCCCCACCCCUCUCCUCACCCCCACUCAGCUCCUCUUACUCUCCUGGAGGGGCAGGCAGGGCUCACUGAGGACCCGCUCUCCCUCCAAGCUCCCGCUGUACCUCCCAUUCAGCACUUUCAAUGGGGACCAAGGGAGAGAAUGAGAGUCAGGGGCUGGUUUCAGCCAGCGAGCAGCAGGCAGAGAGAGAAAAACUGGCAAAGAAGUUUGCUUGUGCUGGGUCCCAGCUUUGUCAGCCAGCUGGGCCAGAUGCCACCGUGGAGGCAUCUGUCUCCACACAUCCUGUUUCUGGGGAUUGAUUCGCACAGCUGUCUCUUAGAUGGAAAGGAGGUGGCUGCCAACAUGACCCAGAGCAUCCUUCCAGCCCUACUUUAGGCAGGAUAGCUGAGUGGGAAGAUCCUGGGUUUUCAGUUGGGCAGGGAUUUCAAUCAGAUUCUGACACUCCCUAGAGGUGUCACCUUGGGUAAAUUGCCCAUAGUGCCAGAGAUGUAUAAUAGCGGUAAGAAUGUUUGGUUCAAAUCCCAGUUCUCCUUCCUAGCUGUGUGGCCUCAGACAACUUACCUGAUAUCUCUGAAUCUCAGUUCUCUGAAUCUCUGAAAUGGGGAUCCUACCUGUACUUAUUCUCGUAGGAUUGUUGGGAAGAUUGAGUGACUUAAUGCACAUUCAAGAGUUUAGAACAGUGCCUGGCACCAAGUGUAGUCUCUGACUGUUAUAACCUUCUCUGAGCCUGUAAAAUGGGGUAACCUCACCUACUUCUGGGGUCAUUCUGAAGGACCAAAGAGCUAAUGGAAGUGAAGCACCUAGUCAUAUGCCUGGCACACAAGAGAUGCUCAAAAAUGGCAAUCUUAAUGGAAGUAGGAUUAUAUAGUAUGAGUCCUUAGUCUGAGAACUACCUUGCGUAAUACACUUUAUGUCUCUGAGGCUCAACUUGGACACCUGUAAAAUGGGGGCACCAACCGGAUGUCCUGCAAGUUUGACUUAAUUCUGACACUGUCUACCUGAAGAUAACAUCAGACCCCACAGGGAAAUUCUAAGGCUUUUAGGAGCUCUGUGCUAAGAAUGGAGAAGACUAAAUAUCCAGACGAACCCAGAGAGGGUAGAGGAAAUGUCUUCCUCCUCUACAGUUUGGCAACUUUGACAGGAUAAAAUUUCACUGGCUGGACACUGCUUGCUCCUGGACUGCUGCAGCUGAGAGAUCCUGGACCCCUGAUGAGAGCCGGCAAGAGAUUUUAUUUUUUCCUUUUUCUCCCCAAAGCCCCCCGGGACAUAGUUGUGUAUUCUUCGUUGUGGGUUCUUCUAGUUGUGGCAUGUGGGACACCACCUCAGCGUGGUCUGAUGAGCAGUGCCAUGUCCGCGCCCAGGAUUCGAACCAACGAAACACUGGGCCGCCUGCUGCGGAGUGCGCGAACUUAACCUCUCGGCCACGGGGCCAGCCCCUGUCAAUUGUCAUUUUUUAAGUCUUUUGUUGUUUACAGUCAGUUUUACUCUGAUGCCUUUCGCUUUUGCAAAUAUGUCUCAUCUUCGGAGGGAUUCACAGAAAGGACUCUGACACUUAUUCUGGAUUACAGGUUUCUGAUAAACUUUCAGAUCAUAGAACUGAACUGGGUAAGAAAUUACAGAAAUCUAUGGAGAAACUGAUGACCCCAUAAAACUGCUAACAGAAGAUUAAGAUCAAGAACCGAUUAUACAGGACUGAAUGAACUGAGGAUGAUUAUAAUUUUUGUGACUUUUAUUUGAAGUAUUGUUGAUUUUUUGAUGUUUUUCUUUGUUUUCUCAGGUUCAAGGAAAUCUUUUUCUCUUUUCUCUUAUCCUAGCUAUGACUUUUGGCAAUUUGGUGAAAUUAUACCUUUGUGAGCAAAACUGAAACAUUUAUCUUUUUCUCCCUACCUGAUCCCUCGAGAAUUUGGAAACUCUUUGUGAGUAUGGUUAUUUCAUGGCAAUAUAGUUAUUUGCAUAAGUUCAAUAAGAAUCUGUUCUCCUUAUAACAGGACACAAUUGGAAACAUUGGUUAUCUUACCAAAGCUUUGACUGGAAUGUCACAUUUGAGAGAAACGUACUGACUUGGAUAUGACAAUACUGCCUUUGAGGAAUAAGGUUGACUUUGUGGAAAUAAAGCCACUUGGAAAUAUGGGCCUGAUACCUUGCUUUACAGAGAGAGAUUCCAGCAAUCUUACCUGCUGAGUAAGGAAGCUUGCUUAUCUGGCGGGUGUGAGGAACCUCAAAAUAUUUUGGGGAAUCUCAAGAAAGGAGAGAAAUUCACCCAAAAAUAAGGUAUUGCAGGCAAGGCCUGAUGGCACAAAUCCUUGGUGUGGCUUUCCUGGCCUCAAGAAGUCUUUAAGGUUCAGUUUGAGAUUCCUCAUUAAAAAAUUCCAGCAAAGUAGAUUUAAGAGCCUAUAUGAUCAAUUGCUAUUCUUGCUGCACUUAUGUAAAUAAUUGGGCCCAGUUUCUUGAAACUAAACUUAUAUUGCAAACCAAUUAGUCUUAAUUUGGCUAUCUUUGGUAAAAAUGAGGGUGAUUUUAGAGAG